rnacentral:lncRNA from 10 species
CAGGAGAUUGAGAGAGUGUUCCAUGAACUCAUCCUAUUACAGGAAGAGAAAGUGAGAUUCCAGUUGAAUUUGACAAUCCAAAUUCUUCUUAAACAAGGACAAGUAGAACUGGAAAAUUUCCAGCUAGUACUGGAGUAUUCUGAUGCAAUUCUCAUCAACAAGAACAUAAUUGAAGACUUGAAUUCUGUGAUUCGGACUCAAGGACAAAAGAAAGUUGCUAGCAUGAUGGAAAGUAAAGAUGUACACAAAAGAAUACUUCAGAUUGAGUGGGAACAUAAGAAAAUGGAGAUGGAAAGGGAAGAUCUAAAUCAGAAGGCUUGGGAUAUUCAGAUGCUAUUUUUUUCAAGAGAUCGUCAAAAGGUAAAUUCUCCCUACCCCCCUACAUAGUUUUAAUUUUAUUCAUUAAUGUAUUCAUUCAUUUAACCAGUAUUUAAUAAGAAGCCUCUGUGAUAUCAAGCAUAUUCUAAGCCAGGAGUGUUUCAAAAUAUAUCUGUGAGUUAUUUUUCUUCCAACAGUUUACAUUUGC